GACGAACGCUGGCGGCGUGCUUAACACAUGCAAGUCGAACGGAAAGGCCCUGCUUUUGUGGGGUGCUCGAGUGGCGAACGGGUGAGUAACACGUGAGUAACCUGCCCUUGACUUUGGGAUAACUUCAGGAAACUGGGGCUAAUACCGGAUAGGAGCUCCUGCUGCAUGGUGGGGGUUGGAAAGUUUCGGCGGUUGGGGAUGGACUCGCGGCUUAUCAGCUUGUUGGUGGGGUAGUGGCUUACCAAGGCUUGGACGGGUAGCCGGCAUGGGAGGGUGACCGGCCACAUUGGGACUGAGGUACGGCCCAGAGUCCUACGGGAGGCAGCAGUGGGGAAUAUUGCACAAUGGGCGGAAGCCUGAUGCAGCAACGCCGCGUGCGGGAUGACGGCCUUCGGGUUGUAAACCGCUUUCGCCUGUGACGAAGCGUGAGUGACGGUAAUGGGUAAAGAAGCACCGGCUAACUACGUG
rnacentral:rRNA from 1 species